CAUAGUUCAUUUAUGCGGUUAGAACGCUGGCCUUGUAAUCCUGGGGUCUCGGGUUCGAUUCCCGGUG
rnacentral:tRNA from 1 species